GGGCUUGUAGCGCAGUGGUAGCGCGCCUGCUUUGCAAGCAGGAGGUCGAGGGUUCAAAUCCCUCCAAGUCCA
rnacentral:tRNA from 1 species